GAUGAACGCUGGCGGCGUGCCUAAUACAUGCAAGUCGAGCGAACAGACGAGGAGCUUGCUCCUCUGACGUUAGCGGCGGACGGGUGAGUAACACGUGGAUAACCUACCUAUAAGACUGGGAUAACUUCGGGAAACCGGAGCUAAUACCGGAUAACAUGUUGAACCGCAUGGUUUAACAGUGAAAGACGGUCUUGCUGUCACUUAUAGAUGGAUCCGCGCCGCAUUAGCUAGUUGGUAAGGUAACGGCUUACCAAGGCAACGAUGCGUAGCCGACCUGAGAGGGUGGUCGGCCACACUGGAAGUGAAGCACGGUCCAGACUCCGUGGAGAGGCAGGGGUUGGGGAUCUUCCGCAAUGGGCGGAAGCCUGACGGAGCAACACCGCGUGAGUGGAGAAAGUCUUCGGAUCGGAAAACUCUGUUUGUAGGGAAAGACAAAUGUGUGAAAAACCUUGCACGUUUUGACGGUACCUGAUCAGAAAGCCACCGCUAAAUACGUG
rnacentral:rRNA from 1 species